GAAUAUUGGACAAUGGGGGAAACCCUGAUCCAGCAAUGCCGCGUGGGUGAUGAAGGCCUUCGGGUUGUAAAGCCCUUUUGGCGGGGACGCUGAUGACGGUACCCGCAGAAUAAUCCCCGGCUAACUUCGUGCCAGCAGCCGCGGUAAUACGAAGGGGGCUAGCGUUGUUCGGAAUUACUGGGCGUAAAGGGCGCGCAGGCGGCUGCUCAAGUCAGGCGUGAAAGGCCUGGGCUCAACCCGGGAAUUGCGCUUGAGACUGGGCUGGCUUCAGUGCGGGAGAGGAUGGUGGAAUUCCCAGUGUAGAGGUGAAAUUCGUAGAUAUUGGGAAGAACACCGGUGGCGAAGGCGGCCAUCUGGACCGCAACUGACGCUGAGGCGCGAAAGCGUGGGGAGCAAACAGG
rnacentral:rRNA from 1 species